rnacentral:lncRNA from 1 species
GGCUUGGAGCGACAAGUUGUAAGGGGCUGCGGGGUGAGAGAGUAGAGGAAAGCCGAGAACAGAAACUGUUCUAAGUCACUCAUCUUCAUCUUUGGAUCUCUGCAGCAAAGGCAGCUCGCUGAGAGUCAGUCAGUUGGUGUGGCAGCAUCUGCUUUGCUGCUUAUCGGUUAAUUAUCCACCCGACAAAGCCAGCCUCCCAUUGCCACCCGAGUGA